UACAGAGGGUGCGAGCGUUAAUCGGAAUUACUGGGCGUAAAGCGUGCGUAGACGGCUAUCUAAGUCGGAUGUGAAAGCCCUCGGCUUAACUGAGGAAGUGCACCCGAAACUGAGUAGCUAGAGUACUAAAGAGGGUCGCGGAAUUCCCGGUGUAGAGGUGAAAUUCGUAGAUAUCGGGAGGAACACCGGUGGCGAAGGCGGCGACCUGGGUAGAUACUGACGCUGAGGCGCGAAAGCGUGGGGAGCAAACAGG
rnacentral:rRNA from 1 species